GUCUACGGCCAUGCCACCCUGAACGCGCCCGAUCCCGUCUGAUCGCGGACGCUAAGCAGGGUCGGGCCCGGUUCGUACUUGGAUGGGAGACCGCCUAGGAAGACCGGGUGCUGUAGGUG
rnacentral:rRNA from 1 species